rnacentral:rRNA from 1 species
AGCGAACGCUGGCGGCAGGCUUAACACAUGCAAGCCGAGCGGGCGUAGCAAUACGUCAGCGGCAGACGGGUGAGUAACGCGUGGGAACGUGCCCUUUGGUUCGGAACAACACAGGGAAACUUGUGCUAAUACCGGAUAAGCCCUUACGGGGAAAGAUUUAUCGCCGAAGGAUCGGCCCGCGUCCGAUUAGCUUGUUGGUGAGGUAACGGCUCACCAAGGCUACGAUCAGUAGCUGGUCUGAGAGGAUGAUCAGCCACACUGGGACUGAGACACGGCCCAGACUCCUACGGGAGGCAGCAGUGGGGAAUAUUGGACAAUGGGGGCAACCCUGAUCCAGCCAUGCCGCGUGAGUGAUGAAGGCCCUAGGGUUGUAAAGCUCUUUCGGCGGGGAAGAUAAUGACGGUACCCGCAUAAGAAGCCCCGGCUAACUUCGUGCCAGCAGCCGCAGUAA